rnacentral:pre_miRNA from 1 species
UGCCCUAGCAGCGGGAACAGUACUGCAGCGGGCGCUCGGCUCUGGAGUAUUGUUGCCGCUGCCCGGGCA